GACAAUCUGAGAAUGGAUUUUGUGGUCAAAGAAACUUAGGUACUAGAAAAACCAUGGCGAUUAAGCCUCUGUUAAUCUUCUAUUUAUUAUUCAGAGAUUACAUCACCUUUUCUCUUCACCUCCUUAAGAUCCAUGAGGCAGAGGUGGGAGGUUCUCUUUGAAGGCUACACGUUUAACUUGCUUGUUUAGUUUCCCCUUAACUUCAGCAAGAAGAAAAAUUGUGGGGACAUGUAUAUUACUUACAAAUAAAUUCAAUGUCAUUCCCUUUUCUUCUCCACACCGUCUCCACACUCUCACUGAACUUUUCAAAGAAAAGUUAAUCUAUUCCAUUUUGCAAACUUAUUUCUGGAAUUGUCCCUGGUACCCAGGAUUAUCUAAGGUAUAUGAUCGCCUCUCCAUCUCUCACAGUUUUCCUCUUAACUAAGUAAAAAGUGGGAAUAGCUUACAGGAAUUUCUGAAAUAAGAUUAUUAGGACUUAUAAGGAACUUUUAUAAAAGGCUUUGACCUACUUAAAAGAAAUGGGUCCGAACUUGUAGGCACCUAUUGUCAGUUUGAAUAACACUACCUUCCAGAGUGGUGCUUUGCAGGAGUUCCGGUAUGUUCAGAACUUCCAUCCAAAUUCUAUAAUAAGCGUCAGAUUCAUUAAGAAGAACUCGUUCAUUUUCGCUGUGACUACAUUAAGGCCAGGCUUAAGGUGCCUCCAACUUCUGAGUGGCUUACUUUGCCAUUGCUCUUUCGGACUAAUGAAUGAACAAUACUAAGAUGAUCUUAAAGUGGUUACUCACACAUGAGAUCAUCACACUGGUGCCCCGCCGUAUGUUAUUAAAUUGUCCCCGUUCACAGCAUAUUCCAGAAAACACUUUCAGCUAGAGUGCUAACACUUGCAGUUAGGGAGUAGGUCAGAGUGACAAGAGUCCAAGAAGACAGCUGAGUCAUCCUGGGUGGAAUAUAUAAAGUCCCUGUGCUGCACUAGGACAGAGGUAACGCUUCCUCUGAGCUCCCAACCUCUUCAACAAACAUCAAAAGGUAGGACUGAAAUGGAGAGUGGGAACACUCAUUUACAGCAGAUUAGCCCUGAGCUAGCAUCUGUGCUCAUCUGCUAUUUUAUGUGUGGGAUGCCUGCCACAGCAUGGUUUGGAUUGAUUCAGGAAGUAAAACGAGGCAAUAGAAAAGCAAAGACUGACUCUCACAACUAGCCCUUCUUUCCAGUAACUGAGAUCCUUCCUUCAGAGAUAUUCCUUUUAAUUCCAAACUGUGAACAUUGCAGCAGCUGGAGAAAGCAAGAGUGCUUAAAAGACUUGUCAGAGAUUAAAUAAAGGAUAUAGGUGGGGGCUGGCCCCGUGGCCGAGUGGUUAAGUUUGCGUGCUCCGCUGCAGGCGGCCCAGUGUUUCGUUGGUUCGAGUCCUGGGCGCAGACGUGACACUGCUCAUCAAACCACGCUGGGGCGGCGUCCCACAUGCCACAACUGGAAGCACCCACAGCGGAGAAUAUACAACUAUGUACCGGGGGGGGGCUUUGGGGAGAAAAAGGAAAAAAUAAAAUCUUUAAAAAAAUAAAAUAAAAAAUAAAGGAUAUAGGUGGCAAUCUCAUACAGGAAAGAGAACAAGCUUAUUUUAAGUGAAUAUUUCCAAAAGUUCAGUUAUUGUUUUAGCACCUUUGCUAGUACAUACUAUUUCCAUCAACAAGUAUGCCAAAAUUAGCAAGAGCCAAGACUGACAAAUUUCUUUGGCUUUCUCUAGUACCUAUUUUCUAUACUUCCAUUAUCCCAACUCUGAAUUUGGUCUGAAAAUACAUUACAAUUAAUGUCUAACACAAUACAGCUUAUGAUGUGGUUAUAGAUUCCUCAGGGAACAGAAUUAAACCAUCAAACCCAUUUUCGAAGUCUAGGGUGAAAGGUUAAUGGAUUUACUAAAAUGCUAAACAAAGUCAAAGUGGUACCCCUUGGAGAGAGAGAUCAGGAAAAGCAUCAAAUGCUUAUCUGGACAAAUUUUUUCUCCAUUCUGAAAAUAUUCUAAAUAAUGUUAAAGGAACUGCAGAAAAACGAUUGAGGCUAAACAAUUAAAUAAGGAUGAGUCCUUUGUUACUGCCCCCCACUGAGGAUUUCCUAGCAAGUUUGAGUUUUUAUCUUGUUUCUUAGAAGACGUGGAACAGUAGGUCAAUAGCAAGUGUUACCUACAUUUAGCAGAUGGUAGAGAUGAGGCUGCAGAAAACAUGAUAUGCUUAGCUUCUCACCUCAGUGGUAGGAAGAGUGGAUAAUGUGCAGAACCUGGGAAUCCAACUGCAUUCCUCAUGACCUGGACUAUCCUUUCUCUCUCAGAAUUAAAAAUGUAAUAUUGAGGGGGAUACAUAAAAGUUAUAUUCCUUCAGAAAAUGUGGGCUCAAUUAUAGUUGGUGUAGUAGGUUACAUUAUUGUUUAGAAAUAUCAUCCUCCUCUCUACCUCCACAGGUGUAUUCUUCCCUGUGUUUCAGCUUUGGGCUUGCCCAUAUAACUUGCUUUGACCAAUGGGCUGUUGGUAGAUAUGCCAACAGCAAGAGCUUGAAAAGUGCUUGUGCAAUUGUCUUCUUGUGCCUCUGUCAUUGCCAUAAAAAGAGAUUCCUCCGUGUAUCUGUCUGCCCCAGAAUAAAGAUAAGUGGAGCCAACCGGAGCCAAGCCUGCAGCUCAAAGCAGAGCCAUCCAACUGAGUCUAAAUUGGCCAACUCCCACCACCACGCUGACCCAUGAAAAAUAAGCACUUAUUGUUGAAUGGCACUGAGAUCUUAUGGUUGCACAGUAAUAACUGACUAAACAUGAGUAUUAUGUGGUCAAUAGUCCAGGGUCUGAGGAUGGUUGAUUUCAUUUUUGCUUUGUUUCCUGAGCUGGCUUUCCUAUUUUUAACUCACGAGACUUGAUUCCCCCAGGCUAGCCUGAUUUGCUCCAGCUCCCAGCCAUUUCUCUAAUUUUGCACUCAGUUUAGUUGUCUUCACUACUGCUCCAAUAUUUACAACUGAAAUUACCAUGCCCUUGGUGUCCCACAUUGAUUGGCUUUUUCUGCUACUGCCCAGAGCAAUCCAUAGAAUCCCCAGGAAUAUAAAUGGGCUUAAGGCAUUUACAGACUUGGUGUCUGUAUAUUUUUGCUCUUCUGCUAUAUUUAGAGAAAGGCAAUUUUGACAUCAUUAUUUGUUCAGGAUAGGUUUAUCACUAUGAAAAUCUUAUUUUCAUGUAAUAUUCAGAAAAUAACUAUUUUUUAAACUACAGAAUCUGAGAAGAAUCCCAUAUGAAUAAAGCUGACGGAAUUUAAAAUUGCUUCAUUACAGGUCCAACUUAUAUAGAUAUAUCUAUUGAUAAAAUGUACAUAGGGGAAGUAAUUCAACUUUCAAAUUGCAGGUUCUCAACCUCAGCACUAUCAUUGUUUGGGACCGGAUAAUUAGUUGUUGUGAGAGGCUGUCCCAAGCUUUCUAGGAUGUUUAGCAGCAUUCCUGGCCUCUACCUACUAAAUGUCAACGGCACCUCUCCCUGAGUUGUGUCAACCAAAAAUAUCUCUAGACAUUUCCAAAUGCCCCUGGGCAAAAUUGCCGCGGUUUAGAGUCACCGAGAUAGAGGAUAUUUAUUUUCAUUUAUCCACUGAAGGUAACUAACUCAACCUUCUCCAUUUUCCCUUUUCUCCCCAAUGACUUUCCUAAUCUAUCUGAUCUCUGUGCUUUCUCCAAAAGAAAGGGUAGUCAUUCUUUCCCCAUGUCUGUCAAAGUUUAAAGAAAUGUUCCACUGCACUGAAGUCCAGUUACAAUGCAAUGAUAAAUGCCAAAGCAACCUUUGUUGGACAUGAACUCAUAAACAGACAGGGCCCGGUGAACAUGGCAUCAGUUAUGCCAAUUUUUUGGUGCCAUAAUAUAUACUGAAGCCAGAUCAACAGAAUACAGUAACAAUGGAUCAUGUGUCUGAACCUGCACAUAGUCUUAUUAUGGAGAUCUGGGCAUCAUAGUGGUAUUCAUUAAAGUGGUAUUUUACCUUUAUCUCAUUUUUCUCAAUUGUAUAAAGUCAAAAGUAAGGAAUUUCUCUAUUGAUCUGAAGUUUUGCUCUCCAAAAAGCUACAACCAGUCUGAUUCUUAUAAUUAGACAGUAUAAGAUUUCUUGCCUGCAAACACUAUAAUCAUAUUUUGUUUUCAACAAAGAACCAUCUGCUUUUCAAAGGCUGCGCUCCCGGGCAUGCGAUAUUUCAUUUAGACAUCAUGGUGUUGCUGUAUUUUUCUUGCCGUGUUCAUUCACCACAGUCAUCACAAGUGUAAAGUCCUCAAGCCUUGUAUCACAAUAGGGUUAUUUCCUUCUCCAAUGUUAGUGUUAAGGCAGCAUGUCAAUAUUUUAUGCACAGAGUGACAUAGAAAAUAUAGUAGUAAUUAAAACAGUUAAUCAUAGAGCCAACUGCAUUGGCAGCUGGUGAACACCUCUUCACCAACAAUAUUCAAGCAGAGGCUCAAAAGUCAAGGAUGUUUACUUGGAGCGGGCAUUGGCCAAUCUAAUUUCCACUGUUCCCACCAAAUCUAGUUCUCUAUUAUUCUUAUUUUUAAUCAGUCUAAUCUCAUCCAAUUAACCUCUGAACUACUCUUGGAAAGUAAGGGCUGCAAGAGGUAAUGCCUAACAUUUAUUACAUAUAUUAUCUCAUUUAAUCCCCUUCAAGUACUUAUAAAAUGGGUAUCAUCAUUUCCAUUGUACAGAUGGAGAAACUGAAGAUUAGAAAGACAAAGUACCUCUUCCAACUCAGUGUCAAAGCAGAGAUUUAAGCGUCCAGGUUCAAUCUGACUACACCAGCACUACCCUAAAGUAGUGGUCAUGACCUAGGGGUCCGAGUCACGAUCAUAUGAUGAGUUUGUACCAAAUCAGCAUAAUACACAAGCCAGAGAUUUUUGCCACACACAACAAACUCUUUCUCAAUCCUUCUUAAAAUUCAUGGCUUGUAUCACUUAUGACAAAGUUCUGUAUUAAACAAAAAACUAAUAGGCAAGGAAGAGAACUAUAAUAAUGUCUUGCUACAAAUGAAACUCUGUUCUCUAGUUCUUAAAUGAUUGUGUUGGCUCAAAAAUAUAAUUAAAUUUUUUACACAAAACAUUCAGCUAAAAGGGAAGAAUAAGGCCUUAUCGUUUUAACUUUGUUAUUUCUUUUAAAACUGCAUAUACCAGUUAGUGGAAUGGUUUGUGUGUGUGCGUAUGUAGUUCAUAGGAAGUAAGUUUUGAGUCCUAGAUUUCAUUUCCAUGCCAUUCUUUUCCACACCUUCAGAAAGAUUUGUAGAGAAAUACAGUUCAAAACAGAUCAAGAACCUUGCUUAAGGUACAACUAUUUUCCUGAUGGAAGUCAGAAAACUACAAAAUAAGAUGGUUCCUUGCAGUAUAUAUAUUAUUUCAGAACAAGAUGAGGAAACAUAAUGCUAAAAGCAUGCACUAGAAAUGCUAUUUCUGUAUAAAAUUAAUGAAAUGUCAGGAUCAAGAGGAAUCCAAUAAAUCCCUAUUAUUCCCUUCUGUUUUAUAGUUUAUUACAUGAAAUGCAUGCAGCUACGGAUCUGAGACCUUUCCUCCUAUUAAACCUACAAUCGACUAAAUUGACACAAUUCCACUCUCUCAUAAAAAGAAAAAGCCAUGCUAUCCAAAUUACAUGAUUUACUUUCAUCUGUUAUUUGACCUUUACGUACUUGUUUAUGGUUCCGAGCUUGUGAAAGCUGGCUUGACUUAUGAAAGUAUUUUCCUUACGGCAAACAAAACAAAGCAAGAGAAUCCCCCAGGGCACUUUGUUCUAUUUAUAUCUCAUCUUGUUCCAAAGGAUAUUUGAGAGAACUUACAAAACCGUGUAUAGUAAUAUGACAAUAUUAAAAGAGAGAAAAGGUCAGAGCCAAAGAAAAUCAGAAUAACAAGAGAGAAAACUUUAUAAUGUGACUUACUUAAAAUGUGAAGGGGAUUGACCCCUUAGUCCCCAUUACUUAAGUUUAGAAACAAAAGAAUCCACUCCAAGUAGGCUCUACUGGUUUUGCUUCACUAGCCCAUUUCUCUCUGCGUGUAGCCCACUCUGACUUAUUUCAUCUGAAGUCUUUCCGGAAGAACACCAGGAUAGUAGCAGUAACGUAGUGAUGGGUAUUGUUUAUUGAGCAAUUCCUCUGUGCUACACCCAAAACGCCACUCACUACAUUUGGUCACACUCUAAGCUGAAUUCAAUUCAACUGGUAGACAUUUGUGUUCUGUUAUUUCAUUUCUUCCCACACAUUUAUUUCUUGUGUGCCUUGUGAGUGUCAGCCCUUCAAGGGCAACGACAAGAUAUUUUGCUCUUUUAUGUUGCUCGCAAUGCCAAUUCUACCAUCCAAUCUACUCAAAAAAGAAAAAAAAAAAGCAAUCUGUGGGUAGAGCAGACUUUGCCCGGCUUUGUCAUUUUC
rnacentral:lncRNA from 1 species